UCAGGAUAAACGCUGGCGGCGUGCAUAACACAUUCAAGUCGAACGGUUUCACAAGUGCUGCAUGAGUGAAAAUAGUGGCGGACGGGUGAGUAACGCGUGAGCAACCUGCCUACGAGUGGGGAAUAACGUCUGGAAACGGACGCUAAUACCGCAUAAUGUAUUUGGAUCGCCUGGUCCGAAUACCAAAGAUUUAUUGCUUGUAGAUGGGCUCGCGUCUGAUUAGAUAGUUGGUGAGGUAAUGGCUCACCAAGUCUACGAUCAGUAGCCGGACUGAGAGGUUGAACGGCCACAUUGGAACUGAGAAACGGUCCAGACUCCUACGGGAGGCAGCAGUGGGGAAUAUUGGGCAAUGGGCGAAAGCCUGACCCAAGCGACGCCGCGUGAGGGAAGACGGUCUUCGGAUUGUAAACCUCUUUCAGCAGGGAAGAUAAUGACGGUACCUGCAGAAGAAGCCACGGCUAACUACGUGCCAGCAGCGGC
rnacentral:rRNA from 1 species